rnacentral:rRNA from 1 species
GUGGGGAAUAUUGGACAAUGGGCGAAAGCCUGAUCCAGCCAUGCCGCGUGUGUGAAGAAGGCCUUUUGGUUGUAAAGCACUUUAAGCGAGGAGGAGGCUACCGAGAUUAAUACUCUUGGAUAGUGGACGUUACUCGCAGAAUAAGCACCGGCUAACUCUGUGCCAGCAGCCGCGGUAAUACAGAGGGUGCAAGCGUUAAUCGGAUUUACUGGGCGUAAAGCGCGCGUAGGUGGCCAAUUAAGUCAAAUGUGAAAUCCCCGAGCUUAACUUGGGAAUUGCAUUCGAUACUGGUUGGCUAGAGUAUGGGAGAGGAUGGUAGAAUUCCAGGUGUAGCGGUGAAAUGCGUAGAGAUCUGGAGGAAUACCGAUGGCGAAGGCAGCCAUCUGGCCUAAUACUGACACUGAGGUGCGAAAGCAUGGGGAGCAAACAGGAUUAGAAACCCGAGUAGUCC